rnacentral:lncRNA from 1 species
GGGAUUUGGAUCCUGCCAGCUCGUCCCUGCAACCCCCUACUCCGGUCCCCUCAAACCUGUCCGUGGCUGGCAGCCCUGUGAUACCUCGCCACAUUCUGCAACAGAAUCCGAGAUAGAGGUAGAAGUGGGGGAGUACGUCGUGGCUGUCAGGGCAGCUUUCUGUAAAAUGCUGCCUGGAGGAGCAUGUGAUUCCAGACCCUCCUCUCUGCAACGAAAGUGAGGUUGACACCUGCAGGCCUGGGGCCUCCUGGCCCACUGAGCAGAACACACAGAAGCUGGGCCCACCCCUGCCCUCCCCACAAAGGGUCACGGGAGCCACCGCCUGACUUUGAAGCCCACUGACUUGCGGCUGACAAGAGAAAAGAAUGUGCCCCUGUGAUCAUGUGAAAGCAUCAGCCAGGGGUCCAAGAACUUCCCUCUGGAGCCUCACACUCCCAGCGUGGCACCCAGCAGGGAACAGAUUCUCUCCAAACCUUUGUGAAUGAAUGAAGGAUGACGUCACUAGAAUCCAUCCCUGUUUUAUUUUUUAUUUUUAUUUUUUGAGACUGUAUCCCAAAAAUAAUAAAAUAAAAUAAAAUAAAAUAAAAUAAAAUAAAAUAAAAUAAAAUAAAAUAAAAUAAAGCACACUCAGUUAAAUAUGAAUGUCAGAUAAGUACCAAAUAACUUGUGAGUAUAAAUGUAUCCCAAAUAUGGAAUGGAAUACACAUAGUAAACAUUUUUUUUUAUUAUCUCAAAUUCAAAUGACACUCAGCAUCUUGAAUUUAAUCUGACAACUCCACCUCCUCCUACCCUCUUUGCCCCUUGUCAGGCAAGCUCAAUAGCUAGGCCGAGAGCUGCUGAGGGCGGGGACCUUGUCUGUCUAGGCCACUGCUGUAUGCGUGCCUGGCCCUCAGCAGGGAACCUGACAUGAAGCACACGCUGGAUAAAUAAAUACCUGUUGCUGGAGCGAGUGAUGGGUUCCCAGCCCUCACUGGGGAAUCGAGGGGACUCCACCUCAGCCCAGCCAGAUGGAAUCGUCGGGAACAGAGUGCACCUUAAUUUCUGCGAAGACCAAUGCAAAUUAGAAGAAGACUGAGAUGCAGGCUGUUUGAUCCAAGAGAUGCUUUUUAAUUAUUGUAAAACAGCUGUGACUUACUGAGCACCAACUGUGUACCCGGCCUCACACUGUUCUCAUACACAACAGCUCCACGGGGAAGGCAUUCUCACCGAGAUUCAGAGAGGGGCAGACCUGGCCUCGGGUCGCACAGCUGGGAACCGGACACCGGGCUCUCUCCAGUCAGCUCGGGUGCUGCUGGCCCCAGCACCUCCCCCAUGGCGUGGACCAGGGCCUCCGAGGCUGCUUUAAAGAAGGUUCUUUGAGAACGGCGCAUGUACCGUGUGGACACUCGUGUGCGCCCCUGAAGUUUUUGAGCCAGCCACCCUGUCAUCAAUCUUGGUUAUGCAGUUCAUUUAUUCAGUAGACCCCAGGUUCCCAUCCACGUUUGGUGCACAGGAGAACUCCCCUGCUCAGGAAUUCUGAAUUAAGGAGGCUUUGAAUGAACGAGGCUCUACUGAAUUUAAAUUCCAGAUGGGGCAGGGAGGGGCUGGGUACUGGUGAGCGGCACAGACUGGGCAGGUAGAUGCGGCAGGAGUUCGAAUCCAGCCCCUACCGUUUCUCAGAUCUGUGACUUUGGAAAAAUCACUUUCUCUGGCCCUCAAUUUUGCCAUCUCUAAAGAGGGGGCUGAAUGAAUUCAGACACCCCAAGGCCCCACAAAGUGCUAACGACUGAGAUACGCUGGGGUUGGAGGUGAUUGGGAACAGGUUACGGUCCUGCUUUCCCUGGGGGAACCUGGCCCUGUGUCCGAGGUGCCCGUGGCAUCUCUGCUGGUUGCCCUGGUUUCUGACUCACCCCAGGGAGCUGCCGGGCAGGGGAAACUACCCUCCUGGCCUCCUGAGACCUGCCUUCCAGGCUGCAGGCCUGCUGUCGGGGCUGCUCUGUGUGUGUGUGUGUGUGUGUGUGUGUGUGUGUGUGUGUGUGUGUGUGUGAUGAGGCAUGGGCUGCGCUCUGCACAGAGGUGGGGGUGAGGGUGGGCUCACAUAUUUUAAGUUCAUCACCUGGCUGGGGAAGUGGCCACCCUUGCUCCAGAAAGGUGGCUCUAUGUUCCCAAAUUGUCAUCACUGUCCCUCACAUGUGCUGGAAUAACAUUCAAACUCCCCCAGGCUCCCAAGGCCCCAUAAACUGGCUCCUGCCCGAGACGCUCGCUUCUGCCUUACCCCAGCCCUGUGGUCACCCGCAAAUACUCCAAGCCCUUUCCCUCCUUACAGGCUUUGGCCUGGGCUGCGCUGGCCAACAGAACUCCCUCUCCCCUCCGCUGCAUCCCUCUCUUGCUCUGCCUUCUCCAGGAGGCCUUUGUGAACGUUCUGUGGACAUGGGCUCUCCAUGAGUCUCUCAGCUCGUGUUUGCUUCCCCCUGAGCCAGGGUAGAGGCUCCUGCACGCUGAGUCCUUAUCUGUGUUGCGCCGACCCCAGUGCCUAGGCAGGGCCUGGGCCCCAGGGCCCCUCUGGAUCUGUUGAAAGAAGAGGUCAGAGGGCUGUGUCAUCUAAACCCCGUUUGCAUUGAGAGAGUCAUUCUUACUGCCACAUAUCCAUGCAUUCAUUUGUUCAUUCAACAGAAAGCACCAGGCCCUGGGCGAUUGAGGGUUGAAAGAGACACUGGCCCCUGCCCUUGUGAAUCCCUUUCCAGCCAGGUGUGUCAGGGGCGCUGGGCGGGUGAGGCCGGCACUGAGCAGGUGAGACCCAAAAACAAACACCACCUGGCGAUUUCUCUGUUUUCUCCCACACAGUCCCCCUUUUUGGAUGUUAAGAGAUUAAUAUAUGCAAAUACCCUUUUCCUAUGGUGGUUUUAGCCUUGCACUCUGUGGAUUAAGUUACUUGAUUUAAAUACAUCUUCCCCCCACCAACAUAUACAUGUAUAAAUCCUAAACACUAAAUAAAAUCCCCUCAUUUCCCGUGUGCUGCGGAGCUUCUAAUCCCAAGUCCUGUGGGCAUUUCAGCAGUUAAGAUGGUUCAUGGGGGUUGUGGAGAUUUUAUUUGGAAUAUCAAAUACCUGUCCCUUAAUGGAGUUCGCUAAUACCAGCCAGAGGGGGCCAAGGGAGAAGCUGGAGCUGGAGAGGUGGUGGGAGGAGCUUCUGGAAGGAAAGAGGCCUGUUACCAAGUGAGGAAGGGUUUGGACCGGAUGAGGGUGGUUGCAUAGCCAGACUGGAGGGGACACCUGGGUUUGGACGCAUCAGAGGGCUGGGCAGGACUGGGGGUUCAUCAGAAACAAUCAAGGAGACUGGGUGUGGUGGCUCACACCUGUAAUCCCAGCCCUUUGGGAGGCUGGAGCAGGAGGAUCACUUCAGCCCUGGAGUUUGAGACCAGCCUGGGCUGCACAGUGAAAGCCUGUUUCUAGGAAAAGUAAAAAUGCAAAAAUGAGCUGGGCAUGGUGGUGUGCACCUGUCGUCCCAGCUACUCGGGAGGCUGAGGUACGAGGAUUGCCUGAGCCUGGUAGGUAGAGGCUGCAGUGAGCUGUGAUUGCACCACUCCACUCCGGCCUGGGAGACAGCACGAGACUCUGUCUAAAAAAAAAGAAAGAAAGAAAGAGGAG